CCUCUCUCACAAUCACACCUGGAGAGUUUCCAAUAUUCUACCAGUCUUGACUACAGGAGAGAGAGUCAAGCAGAGGCCUAUCCAUUCCAUUCUUGGCUUGGGCAGUGGCUAGCGAGUGGAAGGCAAUCUGCUACAGGU
rfam:Ornithorhynchus anatinus chromosome 3, whole genome shotgun sequence.